rnacentral:lncRNA from 1 species
CUAUAUAGCCUGGUCGAGAAGGCGGUCCCCAAGAAAAACUGUAUGGAGAUUGUGUCCCCUCCGAGUGCAGGAAAAAACUUUUUUUUUUGACCCCGUUCUUUCCUUUUACAUUAACCGCGGUAUGAUCCGCAACUUUAACCGCUACACUAGCUUUCCGCUUCAGGACACCGUGGGCCGUCGCAUCCUGGUGUGGAACGAGCCAAACUGACGCCCGUCAUUGUGCUCUCGAACAACGAGGUGUUUCCAGAUGACGAGGCCUUCAACCACCGCAUGUGGCGCUACAAGUGGCGAGCGUGUCCUCCACUAAAGAAAUACGACAAGAAGAUCCACCCGAUGGCCCUGGUCCUCCUGUUUGAUGCUUUUGUACUCGAAGAAACAUACGUCGGCACGCGCCAGCUUGAUCAAUAAACAGCUUUCAACCUAA